rnacentral:rRNA from 1 species
UGGCGAACGGGUGAGUAACGCGUAAGAACCUGCCCUUGGGAGGGGAACAACAACUGGAAACGGUUGCUAAUACCCCGUAGGCUGAGGAGCAAAAGGAGAAAUCCGCCCAAGGAGGGGCUCGCGUCUGAUUAGCUAGUUGGUGAGGCAAUAGCUUACCAAGGCGAUGAUCAGUAGCUGGUCCGAGAGGAUGAUCAGCCACACUGGGACUGAGACACGGCCCAAACUCCUACGGGAGGCAGCAGUGGGGAAUUUUCCGCAAUGGGCGAAAGCCUGACGGAGCAAUGCCGCGUGGAGGUGGAAGGCCUACGGGUCGUCAACUUCUUUUCUCGGAGAAGAAACAAUGACGGUAUCUGAGGAAUAAGCAUCGGCUAACUCUGUGCCAGCAGCCGCGGUAAU